rnacentral:lncRNA from 1 species
AUUUCCAUCUUCGCUGGAGUCUGACAUGGACUCGACUAUGGCAGGUCCUGAAAGUUCGAUGGCUGGUGCAUUAGAAAACAAGUCGAUCUUGAGUCGAGGUUGGGAACCUUUCUUUAGGAUAUGUGGUACUAUUGGCCCGCCAUUUUCUUUAUCGUUGUAGUUUGACAUUGGUUCAACUAUGGCCGGUUCUAAGAGCUCGGUAGGUGGCGCGUUGGAAAAUAGGUCGAUCUUGAGUCGAGGCUGGGAGCUUUGCUUUCGGAUGUGUUGUAUUUGGGCAAAUUCGACCUUCUCUUUUCCUUUGCUCUUGGGCAAACGGGUGUCUACCAUGCCGAUUGUCGUUGAAGGGAAUGGUCCGUAUCAACCAUCAUGCGUUUUUCAGGAAACUUUAACUUGCCUUUGUCAAUCCAGCUCUGGAUAUCAUCACGAAAUAUGACACAAUUGUUUGUUGCAUGCUUUGUCAAGUUAUGGUAUUUGCAAUAUGUCCUUCCUUUAAGUUUUUCGGCCUUGGGAAUAUUAUGCCCUGGCCGAAGUUUAAUGAUCUUCACUAAUAGCAAUUGAUCAAAAAUUACUUCGGCCUUUGUGAUAUCAAAGGUAUAAACUUUUGAUGUUUUUACUGUUUCUUCAGUGGCCGAGCGGGUUUUGACCUCCUUGGAAUUAAUGAGUCAAUGCCUUGCACACGUAUGGUUUAUCUAUUACUAUCUCGGUCGCGGCCAUGCUGACGUACUGAGAUUCCUCACCUUCGGUCGAUGCGUAAUUGACCGUAGGGUUUUUGUAAAUCAUCCCUCGAGAUGGGGGUUUCGACAUCUUCUCUUCUCGGAGCAAAUAGUCAUAUUGCUCGACAUGCUGGGCUAAUUCAUACAUAUCCC